GACAGGGAGAAGGGUACAAGUUCAGGUCCAGGAUGUUGGUGAGAACAGCUCAGAGAGUCUGCUCCUAGCGUCACUGAUAGGAGAUCAGCACUGUGGGCCCUGAGUCCACCUGCCUUCCAGUGGCAUCCUCAAUUGAAUGGACUGAGUAUUAUACAUGCCAGACCCAAGCAGACCAAUCAGAAGCCUUUCCCAGGACUUUGGAAUUGGGACCCAAGGACUCCAGCUCACUGACCCUCAAAGGUCUUUUGACUGCCUUCAGGGUGAGAGACCUCAUUCUAGCCUAGGGCGCUGUCUUGUGCCAAGAAGAGAUGAUGAACCAAGCAAGUGUGGGGACUGGGGUAGAUAAUAAAGCAUUUUUUCA